CUCUCAUCGGCAGCAGGGCUCCUGGAAGUCCUGCUUCUCAUUACUACUGUGGACUGGAGCCUCCCCAGAGCUCCCUGGGGUCCUUGGCCUGGGUGAAGAUGGAUGAAGAUCAGAUCCAGCAGCUGUGGGUAGAGGAGGGUCCAGGAAGCAGGCACAAAGAGAGGAUAUUGCAUUUGAGGAUACUGUGAGAGCUCUGUCAGAGGCUAUCAGAGAAGCUCCCUGCAUGACAGCAGAGUGGUCUAGACUGGACCCCAAGUCAGACCAGCCCAAAUGAGCAAGGUUUGCAGAAGGUGGUUUGUAUAAGAAGACCGAAACAGGGUGCAGCUCAGCGCUUGGGAAAGUUGCAAGGGGCUCUGAAGUGUGUUGUUUGAUUUACAUUUGUGGGGUUCCAUAAAUAGGCACUUCACAGAUGCAGACUCUCAAAAUUCUACCAAGAACCGCACAAUAUAGCUGACCACACUGGUCUGCACUUGAUAAGUGAGGAAAUAGAGGCUCAGAGAGCCAGAAUCACAUAUAUAAUUACUACCAGAGCUGGAAUUCCAAUUCAGGCUCAUCUAAUUUGAAAGCCCAUUCUCUUUACACCACACUUCACUAAGACCAAGUCAGCCCUGCCCCUGGGGAGAAAUUCCCUAAGCCUUUAGCAGAGAUCUUGAUAGUCCUAAUGUAUUAGCUUCUCUAAUACAUGUUUAUAAUUCUUGUUGUUGUUUGCUGCUGAUGUUGUUGGUUGUGUCUUAAGGGAAGGGCUAGGAGGGCUUACUGAGAACACUAUCACGUUCUUUCCAACUUUACAAUAGAAGAGGACUGUCUCAGAAGAGAAUCUGGGGCUCUUCUGGAUGUUGUGGGUUUCACCAUUGGAACUGAUGAUUCUCAUGCAAGAGAAGACCCUCCCUUCCACUGUGGGCACUAAACUGCAGUUCUCUAGACGUCUGGACAGGAAUUUCAGCACAUGCUGGAGGGCCGCUCCCACAGAACUUGUAUCUUUUACUUCAGCAGACUCCUGGCUGCCAGUUCUGUAUCUCUUUCUUUUUCUGGAACCACAGAAGAUCACAUUGUCCAAUGUGCCAGGCUAGAAAUACUAGGGGAUUAAGCUGCAGCUCCAUGUUGAGGUAACUGACUUAAUAGUACACCGUUUAGUGACUAUCUUCCUUCCUCUGUUUUUCUUCUUUUGUUUGUCUACCGUUGUCUGCAUGAACAAAAUAAUCCAUUUGUACCCAAAUAUUUAUAUCAGGCUCUACUUCUGGGAGGGCCAAAACUAAGACUAAGAGCCAUGGUUUCAUGUUUAACCAUGCGAUAAAACCUUGUUCUAUAAGAACAAUUGCUUUCAUUCUAGGGCCCCAUUCACAUAGCACGGAAAACAGUAACGAUGUAACUGUUCUGUAAUAUUUCUGUGCAGAGAAUAUGCAAAACAGUGUGGGCGAGGUUCUUUACCAAAACAAAACAGUGCAGACCAUGUGAUCUCUGGCUCUUUUACUGCAUAAUCUGGCUUUGGAGACAUUGCUACACAUUCAUGCUGAAUGUUCUUGCUCUCUCUCCUAUUUUCAUGCCACUGUGUCUUCAUGCAUAUCCCCACUUGGUUUUGACAAAUCUGGCCUCCUAAGCCUUAAAGCCAUUUCAUUAUUGCUGACACCAGUCCAUUGCUCAGACUCUAAUACCUCACUUUCUCUGGUUAUGUAGGGGAUUUUCUUAUGAUCCUGGAAGACAUCCUGGGAGAUAAAACCUCCGAAGUAUCUGGUUUCUAUUAGAAUCAAGUCUGUAGGAUUAGAAGUUUCUUAAUGCACAAUUAUAAAAUGCACAACACCAGAUGUAGUUGUCCAUAUCUUCUUUCAUAUUCCUCCUUUCCUAUUAUUGCUCAGCUAAAUGUUUCCAUGGGGAAGAAAAACACUUGAAUCUUAAAGUGAACUGUCAGCUGAUGUCCCUGAAGUACAUUCAUGAUAUUGUUCCCAAUGUCCACAUGUCUCUGGAGUCUGUAUCACAUCCUAGAAUCCAUUCUAUGCAACCUCAUUAACUGCAAAGGGCAUGGGACAAGUUAAAAGGGAUCCUGCCUGGCAGGUGAAGCAUGGUGUCUGUAAAACACGGUGAUGGCUACUAUGUCCAUUCAAGCUAGUGGGAUGUUUCAGAUGUAUCCUCUAAAGUGGAUAAACUAACAAUCCAGGUACUGGGAGUGUACCCAGGGGUUAUUCAGAAGUCCAGGCUAGCAGAUUACAUCAUAGAGUUGCAGAGGCUAGAAGGACUUUAGGGUUAGAGGUUGGGCUUGAGUCCUGGCAGCAGCUUAAUAAAAAGCAGUGGUUCUUCACCUGCAUCUGCAAAAGUGAAAUGAGGCCCAUGAAUGUCCUACAGUAUUAUAGAUAUUACAGAAAGAGAAUUACCACAAAACCACCCAGGCUACUAAUGACAACUUCCUUAUCUUUAUUUUGGAAAUGUGGCAGCUUAUCAUGCUCAUAUGUUCAGCAGAAACAUCAAAUAACAUUUACAUAACUUUUACUAGGAAAAAGCCAUGAUAAUGUAAUGAUAAACAUAAAUGCGGUUUAAGUAUUAUUUAUUCCUCCUGUAUCUCUCACUGGACAUAUGUUUCUCAAGGUCAAGUUUCUAUCUUAACUUUGCAUUCUCAGCACCCACCACAGGAAAUGUUAUGUAGUAGAUGCAGAUGAAAUACAGUAUUUGUUGAAUGAAAGUUAAACAAGAAACCAUUUGCAACCUCAGCACUUAACACAGUGUUCUAGUAGGCAAGCAUUUGUUGAAGGACUGAAUUAAGUAUACAAAAUAUUGCACAACAAAAGGACCUGGUUAGUAAAUAUAUUAAAAUGGAUUAUUAUAUAUGUUCUUAUGUCGCAUGAGCAGGAGUGGGACUAACCACCGGGAAACAAGGGAAGUGGAGUUUCAAUCUGAGGAAGAAUCUGUACAGUUACAGCUACUGAAUAGCAAAACAGAGAGGGGGCAGACACUUCUAUUUUCCCUAGCUCCCAAACGCUUCUCACCAUUAUCAUCCACUCACCACUACACUGAUUUCAAAUAUUUCACAGAGCAACCACUAAAUGGAAACAGAUAAUCACAGAUAAUCCUUAUUUUGCAAAUAUGGAAACAGAGAAAUUAAGCGAGCUGGCUCCUAUUGCUCUGUGAGGCUGAGAACUUGGAAUAAGUGUCAUCAUUGAUCAUUCCUCUUCCAGACCACCUAGUUUCUCAUUCAUGAUUAUAUUUCCCUAAAGGGUACACACUUGAGAGUACUUUUCGAAGACUUAGCUCCAAGGACAUUACUAACAUUAAUGUAAACUUCAUCAUAUAACCUGGGAAUAAAAAGCACAAUGGGAGAAAAUUAACUUCUGAGAGCUGGAGGUAAUAAGGAACAGUUGAAAGAGGGAGGAGACUAAAUUUUAUCCCCAGCUCUGGCAUUAACUAACUGUGGGGCAUUAUAGAUAAGUCCUAGAACCUCUCCAGACCUCAGUUUCCCCAUACCAAAAAUGAGGGAAUUGUGGAAGUUACUGUCUGUCAUAUGAUAUUGUGUGUCUCUUUAAGAUUCUGCAAAUUUAGGACACAUAAAAAUAUGAAGUCUUGGGAAUACUAUCCAAGAACCAUCAAGAGAGAAGGUAAGCCAAGUUCAUAAGACAAUUUAAUCCUCAGAAGCAAGACUCAGCCAAUAGCCAGACAGGCUGCGAUUCCCUUUGCUGUGUUUUCCUACUUUUGUGCCAAUCCCAAAAUGCUAAGUCAUUGCUUUUGCUAGAAGGAUAUUUUCUUAUUGCAUUCUGAGGAUUUGAACAAAUAUUUUCUUCUUGAGGAAAGCUUUCAGAACAUUUUCAAAUUGAAGGUUAGGCUUUCACGACAAAAGGAGCCUCCGCUCUGAAAAAUUUAACUCCCAGGUUUGGAUAGAUGCCGCACAUGGAAGAGAGAGAUCAGCAUCUGCUGGGCUACACUUUGUUUGACAUAGCCCUUUCUUUCCACCAAUACUGAAAUGGCUUUCAGCAAAGCCUGUGGGCACUGUGGUUUCCACAGCAGUCCUCUCAGGAGGGGCAGACACUGACAAAGCAUUUAGCUUCAGCCUUGUGACUGGUGACAUGCUGAAGCCAACCAGUUGGCUACCUACAUGGAAAACUAUGAGACUCACCUCCCCCCUUACCCUUGUUUUGUAGAGAUGCCUGCCUGAAAUUCCACUUCUGGGUCCUUAUCCCUUUCCUACAAUUAUGCAGCUUCUUUCAAUUGCAGAGAAGGGUCAGCCUGCAAAAACAACAGGUCCACAAACUAAAACGUUGCUUGCUAAUAAUUUUAUGAAUCAAUCCACAAGAAGUGGGCUCCUAUAAUUCCCUAUUAUUUAAAAGCAUUUAUUAUGCUUUUAAAUCACUUCUGAAUUUUUUUAUUUUUCUUGAUUCCAGUUAGUAGAUGGAAAAAAAUAUAUAAGCUCUAAGGUGGUAAAUGAUUAGAGUUUUUUCACACUGCUGAGUGAAGGGUGUCACAUUUAAUGCAGCUCUGCAUAAAACCAGGCUUCAAAGGUGGCUAAUCAUCUAGUUGUCAAUUCAUCAUUUAGGUAGCAGAGAAAAUAAGCUUCACAUUAAUGUGUAUUUACCCUUUAUAAAUAUUGGCAAACAUUAUCUCUUCUAAAAAUUCUUCUCUGAAUUCCCAGAAUGAAGAGUUUUUCUCUGACCUGUGUUCCCAGGGCAGCCUGAACUUUCCAUGGUCACUUACCAAAAUAUAUUAAAAUUGUGCCUCUGUCUCUCCAGUUGAGAGAGAACAGCCAUGUCUCACUCAGGACCCCGACUUCUGGAAUUUGAGGAAGGAAUCUUUUUUAGGGAGUAUUACCAAUGGAGCUUCAGCAACCAGGCUACAAUGCAAUGGCAUGAUCUCAGCUGCAACCUCUGUCUCCUGGGUUCAAGUGAUUCUCACGCCUCAGCCUCCUGAGUAGCUGGAACUGCAGGUGUGAGCACAUGUGCAUUUUCAGACGCCAGGGUGGACUGAGUAGACUCCUGCUCUGCUAUGGAGUACUGCAAGUAAGGGAGGGCGUAGGCCUCUUUGGGGAGGUUUCCUGGACAGAGGAAGCACCAUGGAUGGAAACUACUUCUGGAAUGGUAACCCAACAAUAGCUCCUGCGUAUUCCUAGUUUUCAAUGUGAAUGGUGCCUCCUUCUGCCAACCACACAGAGCAAUACUGCCAGCCCAAACGCACAUUCCCAAUUCCUGUGUACUACCUGCACGUGUAGUCCUGGCUGGGUGUGGUCCAGCUUUCCUCUUUUCUGCCUCAGCACAGAAAGCUGAAAGAGACAGCUUGAAGGUCAGUACAGGACCAGAAUCCAGAGGGUCCAGAUGAUCUAUUCCAACAUGUAGAACUGAAGCUGUGGAAAACAGGAGUGUGAAGCCAAAUUCCAGGCAGAUACCACUGCAAUGAAUGUUGCAAUGAAUUAUUCACUUAUUCUUUUAACAAAUAUUUCUUGAAUUCUUUCCUUUGGCAAGACACCAGGGGAGGAUGUGAUGCCCCAAGAUAAUUUAAACAAUUCCCUGAGUGCUGAAUUCCAAGCCUCAAUAAAUUGUUCACACAGACAAAUAGCAGCAGGGCUUUCUCUGAUGAAUAAAAACAGAGUAAUGUCUUUGUUUUUUAAAAAAAGAAAGAAAGAAAAAACACCUAAAUUAUAUCCGGCUUUUCUGAUGUAGCCUCAAGAUUACAUGGCAAACAAUUAUUUAACAGAAUGAGAGAACUCCAAUGGUCUCAUCCACCCUGUAUGGGCUGAUUUUAGAAGACAAUAAACAGUGACAAUUGUAAAACUUAAUGGAAUGGAAUGGAAUGAAUGAGAUGCCAAGAAACAUUCUCAGUCUUCAUUUAUUGCUCUUGCAACAGCCUUUGAGUUAGGGCCAUGUUCAUUUGUACCAGAUAUGAUGGCUGUUGACAAACUUUAACAGGAGUUUCUUAUUUCUGCUUGAGUGGUUUGUCUACAACUCAUCUCCCUACUUCUACUCUGACUCCAUCCUCUGGAUUUUUCUCAAAACAUGGUUCUGGUCACAUCACCAUUUAGUCCAACUCAUCAACAGAUGAUCAUUGUCUAUAGCAUACAACUUCUUAAUCAUUAUUUCUGCCCACCCUUAUCUCACAGUUCACCCUGUUACUUGUCCUGUAGCCUGAGAGCACAUGUAACAUACAAGAUACCGUCUUUCUUCACUACCUUGUCCACAUACGCUCCCAUUUCUCAUUCAUUGCUAUAACCUCUAUGGAAUGUCCUAUUAUCCAUCUCUUUAUUUCAGAUCCCUAAGUAAUCAACAGGCCUGUGAUGAAGUUUGAACCCAGUUCAAAUCGACAGAUAUUUAAGGAGUGCCCAGGCUUGUAUCAAAGAGUAUGAUGGGCUCUGGGGAUGUAAAGAUGAAGGAAUGAGAUAGGUCCUUCUCAAGAGAAGCAUACAGUCUAGAUGGAGAGACAUGCACAGAACAUAUCCAGGUGGCAGAGAAGUGCCAUCCUGACCCUAUAGCACAGAGUGAUGCGAUGGCAGGUGCUUCAGAAGCUCAGGAAGAGUGCACCUUGCUCAGCCUGGCUGAAGGUGUUGCUAGAAGGAAGUAUCAGGGCUUGGUGUCAGAUUAGGAGUUAUCCAUGGUACGGAAAGUAGAGAGGGAUGUUGUCAUGGGCAAGAGGAACAUGAACAAAGAUUGGAACUUUCUAUGACAUCUCUUCAACCCCCUUUUAUUUCAGAACUGAAUUAUUUCACCUCAGAUGUAAUGUUUCAUUACAUUUUUUGUUGUUGCUUUUACACUGUUACAAUACUAACCAUAAUCAGCCUUAUAUUUUGGUUCCUUGAUUACAGUUAUUAUUUAUUGGGUACCUGGUAAUUUCCAGGCCCUGUGCUAAGCCUUACUAAAAGUUGCCUCAUUUAAUCCUCCCCACAACCUUAAGAGGCAGGCCGUAUUGUCAUGCUCAUUAUGUGGAUGAGGAAACUGCAGCUCAGGGAAGUAAACUACACAAGGUUGUACAGCUAUUUUACUGUGCACAACCAUAAGUUAGAGCACUUGAUAAAUGGUCUCUAUGGUUCUGCAGACAGAGAUUCUGAUCUAGUAAGUUUCAACUGGGACUUGUAUGUGUGUUUUAUCAAAUCACUAAGGUGGUCGAGAGCCAUAUUUAAAAGAUUAGCACUGUUCAGAAGGAAGAGACCUAAGACUUAUACCCAGACCUGUCAGCUUCCAGAACCUGUUUCUAGACUUGCCUGCUCUUGGAGAAAGGGAACAUGUUACUCACUGUUGUAUCUUACAGAGUCACUGACAAUGCAGCCUUGCAUGUUAUAAAUGUUAAAAAAAAUUUUGACUCAUUGCUGGGAUUAAAGUAGUGAUUCUCAGCUUUUUGAAAGAAGACAACUUUAUCUCUCAGUAAUGAAAUAAUUUUGCUUUUAUUUCUAAUUGAUAUUUACCUUAAUGACAAAGUUAAAAGUUUUUAUGAUCCUGAGUUUUCUCCAAAUUGGAUCUUACAAAAUUACCAUUCCCUUUUAUGCUGUCAAUAACUUGACACGUAUUUCCAGUGCAUUAGUCCUACUGAACUAGUGAUUUUCCUAAAACAUAAAUCUGGCCACGUCACUCCACUACUUAAACCUUUUCUAUAACAUCUCAUCACGAAAAGAUAAUAGCCACCAUGUUUAGCCUGAGGUCAAAUAUUAUCUGAAAUCUCACCCCAUAUCCCUCUCCAGCCUUUUUCUCACUAUUCCCACCUUUGCGCAAUGUGUACUAGAACUCAAAAAUAUAUGUAGUUUCUCAAAUUUGUGAAACUGUCUCCUGCCUCUUUGUCUACUCUUUCUUUGACUGGCAUGCCCUUCUCUGAUUUAAUCAACUGACAAAUGCCCAUUCCUCCUUUAAGACAUAAUUCAAGUAUCUCUUUCUCUGUGCCUAAUUCAUUGAUUCUUUUAAGCAAAAAUGAUUGUUCUUUCUUUGUUCCAUAUGUCCCUUAUAGCACAUUUUGUUUAUAAGCCUGUAGUCUCCAUUAAAGUAGUAACUCUUUGAGAGAAUUCUGCCUUUUCUCCACAUCAUCACUGUCUAAUAUAAUGCUUGGCACAAAAGGUUGAGUUGCUUUCUGUUGAGUAGAUUAAUAGAUGAGUGAAGAAAUGAGUCAAGGAAUGAAAGAAUGUGUGAAUGAAUCAAGGUAUCUGUCUUUACUUCCCAUCUCACAUUGAAUCCAUCAGGAAAUUUAUUAGCUCUACCUUCAAAAGAUUUACAGAACAUGAUUAUUUUUCACCAUCUCCACUGCCACCAUCCUAGUCCAAGCCACCCUAACCCCCAGCCAAGAUUUCUCUAGUAGCUUCCUAAUUGUUCUCUGUGCGUUGAUCCUUGAUCACCUCUAAAGUCUAUCUACUCCCAGCAUGGAAGCUAGAUUUAUCCUUUAAAAGUAGAAAUCAGAUUAAAACUCAGCUUUGGUUUUUGUUUCAUGCAGGACAAAAGCUCAAGUCCUUCCAAUGGCUUACAGGCUUUAUAUAACUACAACCUCCCCUUUCAGGCUCCUGCUCUGUCCCACUUGCUUUCUUCUUUUUUUUUUUUUUUUUUUUUGUUUUUGUUUUUUGAGACGGAGUCUCACUCUGUCGCCCAGCCUGGAGUGCAGUGAUGCGAUCUCGGCUCACUGCAAGCUCCGCCUCCCGGGUUCACACCAUUCUCCUGCCUCAGCCUCCCGAGUAGCUGGGACUACAGGUGCCCGCCACCACGCCUGGCUAAUUUUUUUUGUAUUUUUAGUAGAGACAGGGUUUCACCAUGUUAGCCAGGAUGAUCUUGAUCUCCUGACCUCGUGAUCCGCCCGCCUCGGCCUCCCAAAGUGCUGGGAUUACCGCUUGCUUUCCAAUCCCAUUUCUUACCACUCUUCCUACCACUUUCUACCACUCUUGCUCACUCUACUCCACCACACUGGUCUCCCUGCUGUGCCCCAUCUAGCAGGCAUGUUUCCAUCCAUCGUAAGGCCUUUGCAUGAGCCGUUACUGCUGCCCCAAAUGCUCUUUGUUCAUUGUCAGAAUGGCCCACUCCCCUACCUCCUUCAAGUCUGUGCUCAGAUUGUACCUUCUUGACUACUCUUAUUAAUGUAUUCUAAUUAUCUGGGUAAUGACUGCAACAUAGUAGACACUCAGUAAAUAUAAUAUAUUUUGAAUGAAUAAAUGAAUGCAUGACUACUCUCGAAUGUAAGCUUCUUAAAUGCCCUUGUAAGAAUUUUUUUUUUUUUUCGAGAUGGAGUUUCUCUCCUGUUGCCCAGGCUGGAGUGCAAUGGCGCAAUCUCGGCUCACUGCAACCUCUGCCUCCUGGGUUCAAGCGAUUCUUCUGCCUCAGCCUCCUGAGUAGCUGGGAUUACAGGUAUACGCCACCACGCCUGCCU
rnacentral:lncRNA from 1 species